GACAGAAUUGAUAAACCCAUGGCGACGGCAACAAGGCCCGGUGUCCCAAAGUCGGCAGCUAUUUCCAAAGGCUACAAUUUCGCUUCUACUUGGGAACAGAAUGCUCCGUUAACAGAGCAACAACAAGCAGCCAUACAAGCACUUUCCCAUGCAGUUGCUGAGAGACCUUUUCCGUCCAAUUUGGAUCAAGUUUCUGGACACGAUAACAGUUUCUCUGUCUCAACAAAACUCAAUUCUAUGGAGGAUUCAGGGGCCAUUGAAGCAGUCCUAGUGAAUACAAAUCAGUUUUAUAAGUGGUUCGCGGAUCUUGAAGCAGCCAUGAAAUUAGAGUCUGAAGAAAAAUAUCAGCAUUAUGCCAGCACCUUAACAGAGCAGAUUCAGACCUGCGAUAGUAUACUUCACCAGGUGGAUGAAACACUUGACUUAUUCAAUGAGCUGCAGUUGCAGCACCAAACAGUGGCAACAAAGACUAGAACCCUUCAUGAUGCGUGUGAUAGACUGCUUUUGGAGAAGCAGAAAUUAAUUGAGUUUGCAGAAUCACUUCACAAAAAGCUCAAUUACUUUGAUGAAUUGGAGAAUGUUGCAACCACUUUUUAUUCUCCUAGCAUGAGUGUUGGUAGUACAAAUUUUCUACCAUUGCUUAAAAGACUUGAUGAAUGCAUAUCAUAUGUUGAGAGUAACCCACAAUAUGCAGAGUGCAGCAUUUAUUUGGUCAAGUUUCGACAACUUCAGUCUCGAGCUCUGGGAAUGAUUCGCUCUCAUGUUCUUUCCGUUCUUAGAAGUACUUCUUCUCAGGUCCAGGCUGCAAUACGAAGCAGUGGUGGUAGCAAAACAUCUUUUGCCGAGGGUAUAGAGUCAUCUAUAAUAUAUGUACGCUUCAAGGCUGCAGCAAAUGAGCUUAAGCCUAUCUUGGAGGAAAUUGAAAGUAGAACACCUAGAAAAGAGUAUAUUCAACUUCUUGAAGAAUGCCACAAACUCUAUUGUGAACAGCGCCUUUCCUUGAUAAGAGGUAUAGUGCAACAGCGGAUCUCUGAAUUUUCCAGGAAAGAAGCACUGUCGUCUUUAACUAGAUCUGGAUGUGCAUAUUUAAUGCAGGUGUGUCAGCUAGAGCAUCAACUUUUCAAUCACUUCUUCCCAUCAUCUUCAGAGGACAUUUCGAGUUUGACUCCUCUUGUAGAUCCUCUGUGUACUUUCCUCUAUGAUACAUCGCGUCCUAAACUUAUUCACGAAACAAAUCUGGAUGUUCUUUGUGAACUGGUUGAUAUCCUUAAAGUUGAAGUUCUAGGAGAACAAUUGAGCAGACGGGGGGAAUCAUUGGCUGGGCUACGUCCAACGCUGGACAGAAUUCUAGCAGAUGUACAUGAGCGAUUAACUUUUCGUUCUCGCACCUAUAUCCGUGAUGAGAUUGCAAAUUACCUUCCUUCAGAGGAGGAUCUGGAUUACCCUAAAAAGUUGGAGCAAUCUGUUUCAGCAGAACUGGAUUCACCAUCUACUGAACUAAAUCAAGAUGUUUCCGGAACUUGGUAUCCUCCACUGGAGAAAACCAUAUCAUGUCUAUCAAAACUGUACUGUUCUCUAGAAACAGCUGUUUUUACUGGAUUGGCUCAGGAAGCUGUAGAGUUUUGCUCGUUAUCCAUUCAAAAAGCUAGCAAACUUAUUGGCAAAAGAUCGUCAUCAAUGGAUGCACAACUUUUCCUAAUAAAGCAUCUACUCAUCCUGAGGGAGCAGAUUGCCCCAUUCGACAUAGAAUUUUCAGUCACGCAUAAGGAACUUGAUUUUUCACAUUUGCUGGAGCAUCUGAGGCGGAUUCUAAGGGGUCAGGCAUCAAUCUUUGACUGGUCGAGAUCAACUUCAUUAGCUAGAACUUUAUCUCCACGAGUUUUGGAAAGUCAAAUUGACGCCAAGAAGGAAUUGGAGAAAAGCCUGAAAACUACUUGCGAGGAGUUCAUUAUGUCAGUGACUAAGUUAGUUGUGGAACCAUUGCUUUCUUUUGUGACAAAGGUUACGGCUGUUAAAGUUGCAUUAUCUAGUAGUCAAAAUCAAAAACUGGAGUCUGGGAUUGCAAAGCCACUCAAGGAUCAUGCUUUUGCUUCACCAGAAAAGAUUGCCGAGCUUCUUCAGAAGGUCAACACAGCAAUAGAUGAAGAUUUGCCUAGGGUAUUGGUAAAAAUGAGGCUCUAUCUGCAGAACUCAUCGACACGUGCAAUACUUUUCAAACCCAUUAAGACUAAUAUAUUGGAAGCACACAUUCAAGUGCUAUCCCUUCUGAAAAAAGAAUAUACACCUGAGGAUAGACAAGACCUUGUCAAGAUGGUCUCAAUGCAGGAUUUGGAAGCUAAACUAGAUAAGCUUCUAUAAUGAGCUUCCGUUAUAGAAGCUUAUCAUUUACUGGUAAUCAUAAAGCUUCCACGAUGAGCUCCCAAAGGCGAUGCUUUCUUCAACUCCGACUUCUGUAAUACCAGAAUUUAUCGUGGUGGAAGUUCCGGGAACUGCAUGGAGGAAGGUUUUAACCCCAGUUCAAUCCAUAUACAUCGAUCAUACAUGUAAAGCUUUGUUGAAGAGUUGACUUCUGGAUUUGUCUGUUAUCAGAAGAAUUUCUCAUUGAUUCACCCAGGCUGUAAACAGAAUUUUGAUCGUCAUAGUUUGACUUGACACAAAAUCUAAUUACAAAAUGUGAACUUUUG
rnacentral:misc_RNA from 1 species